CAGCAGUGGGGAAUAUUGCACAAUGGGGGAAACCCUGAUGCAGCGACGCCGCGUGGAGGAAGAAGGUCUUCGGAUUGUAAACUCCUGUUGUUGAGGAAGAUAAUGACGGUACUCAACAAGGAAGUGACGGCUAACUACGUGCCAGCAGCCGCGGUAAAACGUAGGUCACAAGCGUUGUCCGGAAUUACUGGGUGUAAAGGGAGCGCAGGCGGGAAGACAAGUUGGAAGUGAAAUCCAUGGGCUCAACCCAUGAACUGCUUUCAAAACUGUUUUUCUUGAGUAGUGCAGAGGUAGGCGGAAUUCCCGGUGUAGCGGUGGAAUGCGUAGAUAUCGGGAGGAACACCAGUGGCGAAGGCGGCCUACUGGGCACCAACUGACGCUGAGGCUCGAAAGUGUGGGUAGCAAACAGGAUUAGAUACCCUGGUAGUCCACACCGUAAACGAUGAUUACUAGGUGUUGGAGGAUUGACCCCUUCAGUGCCGCAGUUAACACAAUAAGUAAUCCACCUGGGGAGUACGACCGCAAGGUUGAAACUCAAAGGAAUUGACGGGGGCCCGCACAAGCAGUGGAGUAUGUGGUUUAAUUCGACGCAACGCGAAGAACCUUACCAAGUCUUGACAUCCUGCGACGCACAUAGAAACAUGUGUUUCCUUCGGGACGCAGAGACAGGUGGUGCAUGGUUGUCGUCAGCUCGUGUCGUGAGAUGUUGGGUUAAGUCCCGCAACGAGCGCAACCC
rnacentral:rRNA from 1 species